UACGUAGGGGGCAAGCGUUGUCCGGAUUUAUUGGGCGUAAAGAGCGUGUAGGCGGCCAGGUAGGUCUGCUGUGAAAACUCGAGGCUUAACCUCGAGAUGUCGGCGGAAACCAUCUGGCUAGAGUCCGGAAGAGGAGAGCGGAAUUCCUGGUGUAGCGGUGAAAUGCGCAGAUAUCAGGAAGAACACCCGUGCGAAGGCGG
rnacentral:rRNA from 1 species